rfam:Shimwellia blattae DSM 4481 = NBRC 105725, complete genome.
GAAGGCACGACAUUGCUCACAUUGCUUCCAGUAUUUCUUAGCCAGCAUUUUUGCUGGCUUUUUUUU